UUCAGACCGUAAACGAUGCCAUCUGGCGAUCCGCCGGCGUUAUUUGUGACUCGGCGGGCAGCCUACGGGAAACCCAAGCGAGGUUCCAGGGGAAGUAUGGUUGCAAAGCUGAAACUUAAAGGAAUUGACGGAAGGGCACCACCAGGAGUGGAGCCUGUGGCUUAAUUUGACUCAACACGGGAAAACUCACCCGGCCCGGACACCGUAAGGAUUGACAGAUUGAGAGCUCUUUCUUGAUUCGGUGGGUGGUGGUGCAUGGCCGUUCUUAGUUGGUGGAGCGAUUUGUCUGGUUAAUUCCGAUAACGAACGAGACUCUAGCCUAUUAAAUAGACGUCACUUCUUGACGAGUGACGCGCUUCUUAGAGGGACAAGCGGCGUCUAGUCGCACGAGAUUGAGCAAUAACAGGUCUGUGAUGCCCUUAGAUGUUCGGGGCUGCACGCGCGCUACACUGAAGGCAUCAACAUGCAUUCCAGCCUGCUCCGGAAGGAGCGGGUAACCCGUUGAAACGCCUUCGUGAUUGGGAUAGGGCAUUGCAAUUAUUGCCCUUGAACGAGGAAUUCCCAGUAAGUGCGAGUCAUCAGCUCGCGUUG
rnacentral:rRNA from 1 species